rnacentral:rRNA from 1 species
GAGUUAACGCGUUAAAUCGACCGCCUGGGGAGUACGGCUGCAAAGUUAAAACUCAGAUGAAUUGACGAGGGCCCGCACAAGCGAUGGAGCAUGUGGUUUAAUUCGAUGCAACGCGAAGAUCCUUACCUGGUCUAGACAUCCAUAGAAUCUUGCAGAGAUGCGAGAGUGCCUUCGCGAGCUAUGAGACAGGUGCUGCAUAGCUGUCGUCAGCUCGUGUUGUGAUAUGUUGGGUUAAGUCCGGCAACGAGCGCAACGCCUAUCCUUUGUUGCCAGCACGUAAUGGUGGGAACUCAUAGGAGACUGCCGUUGAUAAAGCCGAGGAAGGUGGGGAUGAGGUCAAGUCAUCAUGGCCCUUACGACCAGGGCUACACACGUGCUACAAUGGCGUAUACAUAGGGAUGCGAAGGUGCGAACUGGAGCGGACCUCACAUAGUACGUCUAAGUC